GGCGCUAUAGCCAAGUGGUUACGGCGACAGAUUGGAACAUCUCGUGUCCAUCUGUUCCUCUUUGAGGGCGCAGGUUCAAAUCCUGCUGGCGUCG